rnacentral:rRNA from 1 species
UCGGGAAUUUUGGGCAAUGGGCGAAAGCCUGACCCAGCAACGCCGCGUGAAGGAUGAAGUAUUUCGGUAUGUAAACUUCGUAAGAAUAGGAAGAAUAAAUGACGGUACUAUUUGUAAGGUCCGGCUAACUACGUGCCAGCAGCCGCGGUAAUACGUAGGGACCAAGCGUUGUUCGGAUUUACUGGGCGUAAAGGGCGCGUAGGCGGUGUGUCAAGUCAGUUGUGAAAUCUCCGAGCUUAACUCGGAACGGUCAACUGAUACUGUCACACUAGAGUACAGAAGGGGCAAUCGGAAUUCUUGGUGUAGCGGUGAAAUGCGUAGAUAUCGGGAGGAACACCUGUGGCGAAGGCGGCCACCUGGUUGGAUACUGACGCUGAGACGCGAAAGCGUGGGGAGCAAACAGGAUUAGAUACCCUCGUAGUCCCUGAGCGGGCUGGCAAGGCGCAU